rnacentral:rRNA from 1 species
AUUGAACGCUGGCGGCAUGCUUUACACAUGCAAGUCGAACGGUAACAGGCCGCAAGGUGCUGACGAGUGGCGAACGGGUGAAUAAUGCAUCGGAACGUGCCCAGUCGUGGGGGAUAACUACUCGAAAGAGUAGCUAAUACCGCAUACGAUCUAUGGAUGAAAGCGGGGGACCGUAAGGCCUCGCGCGAUUGGAGCGGCCGAUGUCAGAUUAGGUAGUUGGUGGGGUAAAGGCUCACCAAGCCAACGAUCUGUAGCUGGUCUGAGAGGACGACCAGCCACACUGGGACUGAGACACGGCCCAGACUCCUACGGGAGGCAGCAGUGGGGAAUUUUGGACAAUGGGCGCAAGCCUGAUCCAGCAAUGCCGCGUGCAGGAAGAAGGCCUUCGGGUUGUAAACUGCUUUUGUACGGAACGAAACGGCUCUGGUUAAUACCCGGGGCUAAUGACGGUACCGUAAGAAUAAGCACCGGCUAACUACGUG